rnacentral:rRNA from 1 species
CGAAAGAAAAUUUACUUCCUGGAUUUUGUUCCCGAGUACCACGGGAUAGCCAAACCUGUGGGAAUCUAGGAGGACCAUCUCCUAAGGCUAAAUAUGACCUAGCAACCGAUAGUGAAAAAGUACUGUGAAGGAAAGGUGAAAAGUUCCCCGGGAGGGAAGUGAAAUAGAACCUGAAACCGUAAUGGCCUACAAGCUGUGGAAGUGCUAGACCAAGCUUUGCUUGGUAUGCAUGACCGCGUGCCUUUUGCAUAAUGAGCCGGUGACUUACUCUGUGUAGCAAGAUUAAGCUUUUCUGAAGCGUAGUCGUAGUGAAAACGAGUCUGAAUAGGGCGCAUAGUUGCAUGGAGUAGACCCGAAACUGGGUGAUCUAUCCAUGGGCAAGGCGAAGCGUAUGUAAAAGUACGUGAAGGCCUGAACCCACCAAGGCUGAAAACUUGGGGGAUGACCUGUGGAUCGGAGUGAAAGGCUAAUCAAACCCAGUAAUAGCUGGUUCUCCCCGAAAUAGCUUUAGGGCUAGCCUUAUGUGUUUAGCGGUGGAGGUAGAGCUCUAAUUGGACUAGCGGCCCUACCAGGUUAGCAACUCCAGUUAAACUACAAAUGCCAUCGUUCCAAAGCAUAGGAGUCAGUCAGUGGGGGAUAAGCUCCAUUGACGAAAGGGAAACAGCCCAGACCGCCAGCUAAGGUCCCUAAAUACGAGUUAAGUGGCAAAGGAUGUUUUGUUACAUAGACAGCCAGGAUGUUGGCUUAGAAGCAGCCAUUCAUUUAAAGAGUGCGUAACAGCUCACUGGUCAAGCGACUUUGCACCGAAAAUUUCAGGGGCUUAAACUUGUUACCGAAGCUGCGGAUUGUCCUCGUUUACGAGGAUAGUGGUAGGGGAGCGUUCUAUAGUAGGUUGAAGGAGAAUUGAAAAACUCUCUGGACAAAUUAGAAGUGAUCAUGCCGGCAUGAGUAGCGAUAAAACAAGUGAGAAGCUUGUUCGCCGUAAGCCUAAGGUUUCCUGUGGAAGGCAAGUCCACACAGGGUUAGUCGCGUCCUAAGUCGAGGCUGAAGAGCGUAGACGAUGGGCAACAGGUUAAUAUUCCUGUACCACCACCAGGCGAUUGAAUCUAGGAGAGACGCAAACAUUAGAAUCUACUAGCGGAUGGAAGUGCUAGGUCAAGCGGACGGAGGUUCCGGUUAAUCCCGGAAAUUACCUCUGAAAGUGAUGAGGUGUCCUUAAGGACUGAACUGGUUCGGUUGUUUGCCAAGAAAAGAACUCCGAGAGGACAAAUGGUGGUGUGCGUACCGCAAACCGACACAGGUAGGCAAGGAGAAUAUCCUAAGGCGCUCGAGAGAACUCUCGCUAAGGAACUCGGCAAAAUGGCUCCGUAACUUCGGGAGAAGGAGUGCUUGAGUUGACUGGUUCGCCAGUCUAGCGAAAGCCGCAGUGAAAAGGCCCAUACGACUGUUUACUAAAAACACAGGUCUGUGCUAAAUCGUAAGAUGAUGUAUACGGACUGACGCCUGCCCGGUGCUGAAAAGUUAAGGAGAGGGGUUAGAGCUUAGGCUCGAAGCUCUGAACCGAAGCUUCAGUAAACGGCGGCGGUAACUAUAACCGUCCUAAGGUAGCGAAAUUCCUCGUCGGGUAAAAUCCGACCUGCACGAAUGGCGUAACGAUAUGGGCACUGUCUCAGCGAGAGACUCGGUGAAAUUGUAUUAUCGGUGAAGAUGCCGAUUACCCGUAAAAAGACGGAAAGACCCCGUGAACCUUUACUAUAGCUUGAUAUUGAAUUUGGAUUUAGCUUGUGUAGGAUAGGUGGGAGACUUUGAAGCUGGAGCGCUAGCCCCAGUGGAGUCGCCCUUGAAAUACCACUCUUGUUGUAUCUAAAUCCUAACUCUGGUUUGUAUAUCCAAGCCGAGGACAGUGUCAGGUGGGUAGUUUGACUGGGGCGGUCGCCUCCUAAAGCGUAACGGA